rnacentral:rRNA from 1 species
GGGGGCAACGUAUCGGAAUUACUGGGCGUAAGCGCAUGCAGGUGGUUUGUUAAGUCAGAUGUGAAAGCCCGGGGCUCAACCUCGGAAUAGCAUUUGAAACUGGCAGACUAGAGUACUGUAGAGGGGGGUAGAAUUUCAGGUGUAGCGGUGAAAUGCGUAGGGUUCUGAAGGAAUACCGGUGGCGAAGGCGGCCCCCUGGACAGAUACUGACACUCAGAUGCGAAAGCGUGGGGAGCAAACAGGAUUAGAUACCCUGGUAGUCCACGCCGUAAACGAUGUCUACUUGGAGGUUGUGGCCUUGAGCCGUGGCUUUCGGAGCUAACGCGUUAAGUAGACCGCCUGGGGAGUACGGUCGCAAGAUUAAAACUCAAAAUAAUUGAGGGGGGCCCGCACAAGCGGUGGAGCAUGUGGUUUAAUUCGAUGCAACGCGAAGAACCUUACCUACUCUUGAGGUCCAGAGAACUUCCAGAGAUGGAUUGGUGCCUUCGGGAACUCUGAGACAGGUGCUGCAUGGCUGUCGUCAGCUCGUGUUGUGAAAUGUUGGGUUAAGUCCCGCAACGAGCGCAACCCUUAUCCUUGUUUGCCAGCGAGUAAUGUCGCGAACUCCAGGGAGACUGCCGGUGAUAAACCGGAGGAAGGUGGGGACGACGUCAAGUCAACAUGGCCCUUACGAGCGGGGCUAGGAACGUGCUACAAUGGCGCAUACAGAGGGCGGCCAACUUGCGAAAGUGAGCGAAUCCCAAAAAGUGCGUCGUAGUCCGGAUUGGAGUCUGCAACUCGACUCCAUGAAGUCGGAAUCGCUAGUAAUCGUGGAUCAGAAUGCCACGGUGAAUACGUUCCCCGGGCCUUGUACACACCGUUCGUCACACCAUGGGGAGUGGGCUGCAAAAGAAGUAGGUAGUUUAACCUUCGGGGGGGACGCUUACCACUUUGUGGUUCAUGACUGGGUGAUAAAAAAAGGGUAAAAAAAGAAAGAAAAACGGGAAGGAGUUUUUUUUUGUAGACCCAAGGGUCGAGGCAGGGGAGGUAGGUUUUUUUACAGUGGG